UACGUAGGGGGCAAGCGUUGUCCGGAUUUAUUGGGCGUAAAGAGCGUGUAGGCGGCCAGAUAGGUCCGUUGUGAAACCUGGAGGCUUAACCUCCAGCUGUCGAUGGAAACCAUCUGGCUAGAGUCCGGAAGAGGAGAGUGGAAUUCCUGGUGUAGCGGUGAAAUGCGCAGAUAUCAGGAAGAACACCAAUGGCGAAGGCAGCUCGCUAGGACGGUACUGACGCUGAGACGCGAAAGCGUGGGGAGCAAACAGG
rnacentral:rRNA from 1 species